rnacentral:rRNA from 1 species
GACGAACGCUGGCGGCGUGCUUAACACAUGCAAGUCGAACGGAAAGGCCCUGCUUUUGUGGGGUGCUCGAGUGGCGAACGGGUGAGUAACACGUGAGUAACCUGCCCUUGACUUUGGGAUAACGUCAGGAAACUGGGGCUAAUACCGGGUAGGAGCUCCUGCUGCAUGGUGGGGGUUGGAAAGUUUCGGCGGGUGGGGAUGGACUCGCGGCUUAUCAGCUUGUUGGUGGGGUAGUGGCUUACCAAGGCUUUGACGGGUAGCCGGCCUGAGAGGGUGACCGGCCACAUUGGGACUGAGAUACGGCCCAGACUCCUACGGGAGGCAGCAGUGGGGAAUAUUGCACAAUGGGCGGAAGCCUGAUGCAGCAACGCCGCGUGCGGGAUGACGGCCUUCGGGUUGUAAACCGCUUUCGCCUGUGACGAAGCGUGAGUGACGGUAAUGGGUAAAGAAGCACCGGCUAACUACGUG